AUGGGCGUUGCUCUUGUGUUCUCGGGAGAAGCGGGAAGGGGCUCAGGGUUUGAAACAUUGGACAACGUAGACCAGCAACAAACUACCAACACUGUAGAGGAGCCGCUGGAUCUUAUCAGGCUCAGCCCAGAUGAGCGCAUUUAUGUGAAAAUGAGAAAUGACAGAGAGCUUCGAGGCAGAUUACACGCUUAUGAUCAACAUUUAAAUAUGAUCUUAGGAGAUGUAGAAGAAACUGUGACUACUAUAGAAACUGAUGAAGAAACAUAUGAAGAGAUAUAUAAAUCAAAGAAACGAAAUAUUCCAAUGCUCUUUGUCCGGGGAGAUGGUGUUGUACUGGUUGCCCCUCUGCUGAGAGUUGGCUGAAACAAAGAAUUUGUCCUUUGGAGACUUUGUACAGGGUCCUCUUUAAAUGUACAAGACAUUCAAAAGAGAAACCUGCAUACAUUUUGAUAUUAAGAAAUAAUUCCAGGGAUUCUUCCACUCCUGAAAUGAGUUGAUUUGCAGAUAACUCACAACUUCUUAAGCUAAAUUGUAUUUUCAUUUUUCUCAAGCCCUUCCAAUAAAUAUGACCACCAAGAUGCA